rnacentral:rRNA from 1 species
AUGCAUGUGCAUGUCGAAAUGACUUCUGAAAGUGAAACCGCGAACGGCUCAUUACGACAGCUGUGAUUUGCUUGAUCGUGAUUAUCCUACUUGGAUAACUGUGGUAAUUCUAGAGCUAAUACAUGCACCUAAGCUCCGACUUCGGGACGAGCGCAUUUAUUAGAACAAAGCCAAUCGGGCUCCGGCUCGUUGUUUGUUGACUCUGAAUAACUACGCUGAUCGCAUGGUCUUGAACCGGCGACGCUUCUUUCAAGUAUCUGCUUUAUCAACUUUCGAUGGUAGCUUAUGUGACUACCAUGGUCGUAACGGGUGACGGAGAAUAAGGGUUCGACUCCGGAGAGGCAGCCUGAGAAACGGCUACCACAUCCAAGGAAGGCAGCAGGCGCGCAAAUUACCCACUCUCGGCGCGAGGAGGUAGUGACGAAAAAUAACGAGACCGUUCUCUAUGAGGCCGGUUAUCGGAAUGGCUUUAAUUUAAAGCCUUGAAGGAGGAUCUAUGAGAGGGCAAGUCUGGUGCCAGCAGCCGCGGUAAUUCCAGCUCUCAAAGUGUAUAUAGCCGUUGUUGCGGUUAAAAAGCUCGUAGUUGGAUCUGCGCCUGAGGACAUGGUCCGCCCGCUGGGUGUGCACUGUGGUCCUAGGCUUACGAGCUGCCGGUUUUCCCUUCGUGGCCUUCACCGGUUGCGUUGGGUGGCUGGCAAGUUUACUUUGAGGAAAUUAGAGUGCUCAAAACAGGCUUAUGCCUGAAUAUUGCUACCACGGAAUAAUGGAAGAGGACUUCGGUUCUAUUUUGUUGGUUUCGAGAACUGACGUAAUGGUUAAGAGGAACGGACGGGGGCAUUCGUAUCGUUGCGCUAGAGGUGAAAUUCUUGGACCGCAGCGAGACGCCCUAUUGCGAAAGCAUUUGCCAAGAAUGUUUUCCUUAAUCAAGAACGAAAGUCAGAGGUUCGAAGGCGAUCAGAUACCGCCCUAGUUCUGACCGUAAACGAUGCCAACCAGCGAUCCGCCGGUGGUAAUUACGCCCUGGCGGGGAGCUUCCCGGAAACGAAAGUCUUUCGGUUCCGGGGGAAGUAUGGUUGCAAAGCUGAAACUUAAAGGAAUUGACGGAAGGGCACCACCAGGAGUGGAGCCUGCGGCUUAAUUUGACUCAACACGGGAAAACUUACCCGGCCAGGACAGCGUAAGGAUUGACAGAUCGAGAGCUCUUUCUUGAUUCGGUGGUUGGUGGUGCAUGGCCGUUCUUAGUUGGUGGAGUGAUUUGUCUGGUUUAUUCCGAUAACGAGCGAGACUCUAGCCUACUAAAUAGUGACUGGAUCCGUCCCGUCCAGUGCACUUCUUAGAGGGAAAAGCGGCGUUCAGCCGCACGAGAUUGAGCAAUAACAGGUCUGUGAUGCCCUUAGAUGUCCGGGGCUGCACGCGCGCUACACUGGAGAAAUAAGCGUGCUGUAACCAUUGCCGAGAGGCAUUGGUAACCACUUGAAUGUUUUCCGUGAUCGGAAUCGGGAAUUGCAACUAUUUCCCUUGAACGAGGAAUUCCCAGUAAGUGUGAGUCAUUAGCUUACGCUGAUUACGUCCCUGCCCUUUGUACACACCGCCCGUCGCUGCCCGGGACUGAGCCAUUUCGAGAAGAGCGGGGACUGCUGAGUCGGAGCUUUCGGGCUCUGGUUCGGUGGAAACCGCACUGAUCGCAGUGGCUUGAACCGGGCAAAAGUCGUAACAAGGUUUCC